rnacentral:rRNA from 1 species
UACGUAGGGGGCAAGCGUUGUCCGGAAUCAUUGGGCGUAAAGCGCGUGUAGGCGGCUUGGUAAGUCCGUUCUGAAAGCCCGGGGGCUCAACCCCGGGAGGCGGAUGGAUACUGUCAAGCUUGAGUCCGGAAGAGGCGAGUGGAAUUCCCGGUGUAGCGGUGAAAUGCGCAGAUAUCGGGAGGAACACCAAUGGCGAAGGCAGCUCGCUGGGACGUGACUGACGCUGAGACGCGAAAGCGUGGGGAGCAAACAGG